rnacentral:rRNA from 1 species
GGUUUUGAAUGAUCCUUCGGGUGAAAUUAGAACUGGAAAGUGGCGAACGGGUGAGUAACGCGUGGGUAACCUGCCCUAUGGAAAGGAAUAGCCUCGGGAAACUGGGAGUAAAGCCUUAUAUUAUGGUUUUGUCGCAUGGCAAGAUCAUGAAAACUCCGGUGCCAUAGGAUGGACCCGCGUCCCAUUAGCUAGUUGGUGAGAUAACAGCCCACCAAGGCGACGAUGGGUAACCGGUCUGAGAGGGCGAACGGUCACACUGGAACUGAGACACGGUCCAGACUCCUACGGGAGGCAGCAGUGGGGAAUAUUGCGCAAUGGGGGCAACCCUGACGCAGCAAUACCGCGUGAGUGAAGAAGGUUUUCGGAUCGUAAAGCUCUGUUAUUGGGGAAGAAAACAUGACGGUACCCAAUGAGGAAGUCCCGGCUAACUACGUGCCAGCAGCCGCGGUAAUACGUAGGGGACAAGCGUUGUCCGGAAUGACUGGGCGUAAAGGGCGCGUAGGCGGUCUAUUAAGUCUGAUGUGAAAGGUACCGGCUCAACCGGUGAAGUGCAUUGGAAACUGGUAGACUUGAGUAUUGGAGAGGCAAGUGGAAUUCCUAGUGUAGCGGUGAAAUGCGUAGAUAUUAGGAGGAACACCAGUGGCGAAGGCGGCUUGCUGGACAAAUACUGACGCUGAGGUGCGAAAGCGUGGGGAGCGAACA